AAAUGCAUAUGUAAUUAGUUAAAUUUCUAGUUAAUUAAAUUUAACUAAAUAAUUAAACUA
rnacentral:tRNA from 1 species